rnacentral:rRNA from 1 species
UACGUAGGGUGCGAGCGUUAAUCGGAAUUAUUGGGCGUAAAGAGCUCGUAGGCGGUGUGUCACGUCGGCCGUGAAAACCUGCAGCUUAACUGUGGGCGUGCGGUCGAUACGGGCAUCACUGGAGUUCGGCAGGGGAGACUGGAAUUCCUGGUGUAGCGGUGAAAUGCGCAGAUAUCAGGAAGAACACCAACGGCAAAGGCAGCUCGCUGGGACGGUACUGACGCUGAGACGCGAAAGCGUGGGGAGCGAACAGG